GCUUGUCUCAAAGAUUAAGCCAUGCAUGUCUAAGUGUAAAUAAGUCUAUACUGUGAAACUGCGAAUGGCUCAUUAAAUCAGUUAUCGUUUAUUUGAUGAUCUCUUACUACUUGGAUAACCGUAGUAAUUCUAGAGCUAAUACAUGCACAAAAUCCCGACUUACGAAGGGAUGUAUUUAUUAGAUACAGAACCAACCCAGGUUCGUCCUGGUUUUGUGGUGAUUCAUGAUAACUGAAUGAAUCGUAUGGCAUCCGCUGGCGAUAAAUCAUUCAAGUUUCUGACCUAUCAGCUU
rnacentral:rRNA from 1 species